AUUGAACGCUGGCGGCAGGCCUAACACAUGCAAGUCGAGCGAGCGGCGGACGGGUGAGUAAUGUAUGGGGACUGCCCGAUAGAGGGGGAUAACUACUGGAAAAGGUGGCUAAUAGCGCAUACUAUCGGAUAACCAAUAUGGGAUUAGCUAGUAGGUGGGGUAAAGGCGCACCUAGGCGACGAGCUCUAGCUGGUCUGAGAGGAUGAUCCGCCACACUGGGCCUGAGACACGGCCCAGACCCCUACGGUGGCAGCAGUGGGGAAUAUUGCACAAUGGGCGCAAGCCGGAUGCAGCCAUGCCGCGUGUAUGAAGAAGGCCUUAGGGUUGUAAAGUACUUUCAGCGGGGAGGCGUUACCCGCAGAAGAAGCACCGGCUAACUCCGUGCCAGCAGCCGCGGUAAUUC
rnacentral:rRNA from 1 species